rnacentral:rRNA from 1 species
UACGUAGGUGGCAAGCGUUGUCCGGAUUUACUGGGCGUAAAGAAUGCGUAGGCGGCUAUUUAAGUGAGAUGUGAAAUUCCCGGGCUUAACUUGGGAGCUGCAUUUCAAACUGGAUAUCUAGAGUGCGGGAGAGGUAAGUGGAAUUCCUAGUGUAGCGGUGAAAUGCGUAGAGACCCGGAGGAACACCAGUGGCGAAGGCGGCUUCCUGGUCUGCGACUGACGCUGUGGCGCGAAAGCUAGGGGAGCGAACGGG